AACCUGCCCUGAAGCGGGGGACAACAGCUUGAAAGAGCUGCUAAUACCGCAUGUGAAUUGUCUUGGCAUCAAGACGUAUUCAAAGCCGCAAGGCACUUCAGGAUGGGCCCGCGGCCUAUCAGCUAGUUGGUGAGGUAAUGGCCCACCAAGGCUUCGACGGGUAGCUGGUCUGAGAGGACGAUCAGCCGGAUUGGGACUGAGAUACGGCCCAGACUCCUACGGGGGGCAGCAAUUAGGAAUCUUGCGCAAUGGGCGAAAGCCUGACGCAGCGACGUCGCGUGAAG
rnacentral:rRNA from 1 species